AGUGAACGCUGGCGGUAGGCCUAACACAUGCAAGUCGAACGGCAGCACAGUAAGAGCUUGCUCUUACGGGUGGCGAGUGGCGGACGGGUGAGGAAUACAUCGGAAUCUACUUUUUCGUGGGGGAUAACGUAGGGAAACUUACGCUAAUACCGCAUACGACCUACGGGUGAAAGCAGGGGAUCUUCGGACCUUUCGCGAUUGAAUGAGCCGAUGUCGCAUUAGCUAGUUGGCGGGGUAAAGGCCCACCAAGGCGACGAUCCGUAGCUGGUCUGAGAGGAUGAUCAGCCACACUGGAACUGAGACACGGUCCAGACUCCUACGGGAGGCAGCAGUGGGGAAUAUUGGACAAUGGGCGCAAGCCUGAUCCAGCAAUACCGCGUGGGUGAAGAAGGCCUUCGGGUUGUAAAGCCCUUUUGUUGGGAAAGAAAAGCAGCAGGUUAAUACCCCGCUGUUCUGACGGUACCCAAAGAAUAAGCACCGGCUAACUUCGUG
rnacentral:rRNA from 1 species